CUGCCUCUGUGGAUAUGGUUUUGCUCUGUGUGAGGAGCACUUCCUGCUGUUCCAUUGCUGCUCUCUAGAUUUGGCCAGUCAUGAAGUUGUGAAGUGCAGAAAAUAACAGUAAAUGGGUCCAUCUGCAUUGGAAAGCAGGAAUGGAAGAGCCUUGGCCUUAUCCCCUGUUGAGAUGCAGCAUGCAGAGGAAGAGGCCAGCACAGUCAGACUAGAUGUCUGUGCCAGCCAUGGCUACUCUCUGGACCUAGAAGGAAGGCAAGAACUGUGCCUCCAAGUUGCUGAAUGCUUUCUUUGGCAAAACUGAAAAACAGCCCCUUAAGAAAUAGCUACCCUGUGUGCUGAAAGUUUGGUUUUGUAACAAGAUAGUGAAAUAGAUUCUAUUGCCUCUCUCGCUGUAGAAAUAUGA